CAGCUAGGCUACAUUUCCCAGUAUCCUUUGCAGUUUUUAAAGGCCAUGUGACUGGGUUCUGGUCAAUGGUAUAUAGGGAAUAACUAAUGUGUGCUAUUUUUAAAUCUGGCCCAUAAAGACCUCCUGUGUGGUUCUCUACGGCUCUCUUUUCCCCUGCAGAAGAACCAGCAGAGGAUUCCAAGGUUUUAAGAGGUGAUGGGACCACAAGACGGAAGGACCCUUUCCAGACACCUAUCAGACUUCAUAUGAGAAAGAAAGAAACUUCUGUUGAGUUUGGAUUCCCCCAAAGCAGGCUCUGAAGGAAGACUCAAAAGCAAGUACUUUACUUGGGAGGUGAUCCCAGGAAGCCCAGUGAUGAAAUGGGGAAGUGACAGUGGAAGAGAGGAAAACCAAUGAACGAGACAAGACUGCAAACCUAGCAGAGUGGAGAGCUUAACAUAUCCUGGUUUUCCUGCUGCAAGUGGGGUUGAAAAGCACGCGCAGUGGAUUGAAAAUCACAACUAUCCUGCCAAGCGCAGCAGGCUAGCGUUUCCUGGAAUCUGGUCUUAUUUGGAGCCAUACAAGCUGCUGCUUUCUGAAAGGAGGAAACUGAAAACAACAACAAAAGCAGAAUUUCUCUUUUAUUCCCGACUGGAAGAAAGAAAAUCAGGACCAUGAGCUAUCCACCGCUGAUGUCACGUUUGUCUUUAUACGUGACGAUUCCAUUCACCACACCUCUUCUCCGUUGUGUGGAAGCUCCAUCUUACCUCGUCUGCUUCCACCAAGCCAACUCCAUGCCUUUUAUUCAGGCAAAGGCCUAUGUUUACUCAAUUAUUAGGAAUUAAAGAGGUUUAGAACUGUGAGAACAUUUUUA